GAGUUUGAUCUUUGGCUCUCAUUGAACGCUGGCGGCAGGCCUAACACAUGCAAGUCCAACGGUAACAGGAAGCAGCUUGCUGCUUCCCUGACGAGUGGCGGACGGGUGAGUAAUGUCUGGGAAACUGCCUGAUGGAGGGGGAUAACUACUGGAAACGGUAGCUAAUACCGCAUAACGUCCUAAGACCAAAGAGGGGGACCUUCGGGCCUCUUGCCAUCGGAUGUGCCCAGAUGGGAUUAGCUAGUAGGUGGGGUAACGGCUCACCUAGGCGACGAUCCCUAGCUGGUCUGAGAGGAUGACCAGCCACACUGGAACUGAGACACGGUCCAGACUCCUACGGGAGGCAGCGUGGGGAAUAUUGCACAAUGGGCGCAAGCCUGAUGCAGCCAUGCCGCGUGUAUGAACAAGGCCUUCGGGUUGUAAAGUACUUUCAGCGGGGAGGAAGGCGAUAAGGUUAAUAACCUUGUCCAUUGACGUUACGCGCAUAAGAAACACCGGCUAUCUCCUUGCCAGCUGCCGCGGGAAUACCAGAGGGUGCAAGCGUUAAUCGGAAUUACUGAGCGUAUAGCGCACGUCCGCGGUCUGUCAAGUCGGAUGUGAAAUCCCCGGCGCUCACCCUGGGAACUGCAUUCGAAACUGGUCACGCUAGAGUCUUGUAUAGGGGGGGUACAAUUCCAGGUGU
rnacentral:rRNA from 1 species